UUCACACCAGCGACAGAAGACGAGUUCAAAUCCAUACAAGAGAGAAUGGUGGAUUUCUGAAAGCGAAACGUUGUUCAAAUCCUUAAAUUCUUGCCAUGAUGUCAUCACUAUAACCUCUACAUAGCACAUAUAUUGGUAACUCUGAGAGUUUCAUGUGGCCGACCUUGAUAUAAGCAUAUCUGGGAUGGGAUGAAUUAGAGGCACAAAGAGUAGUGAUAUCAGUAAAAAGGGAAGAAUUGGUCAACGGAUUUGGGCAGCUUAUAAAAUUAAUAGGCAAGGGUGUAUCAACAUAUGGAAUUAGGUAAUUAGGAAUAGGAUGAGGAUUUUCGUAGUAGGUGAAAUUGUAAGCAUCUAUAGAAAGGGUGGGAAAAGAGCAGAGGUCGUCAUUGUUUAUGGAAGCAUCGGCCAGCCUGAUGCAUGGAGUUGUCGUAGCCGUUUCUGUAGUUGAUGGCUUUGACAUAGUAUUUGUGAGAGUUGAGAGAGAUGGAGGUGACAUUGUUUUCGCAGGCUAACUCAAAUCUGCCAUCACCGCACUUCUUUGGAUCGCCCUUGAGGCGGAAAGGGUAGCUGAUGUUGCGAAUAAUGCCGCAGGCAGAUGGGGUGCAGUUUGCUUCACCGGUUUGAAACAAAUUAUGGAGUAGUGAGAGAAUGAAGAGAGAUGAAGUAGUGAGGAAGAUGAGGUUUUGAGUGAUCAUGGUUUAGACAACUGAUUUUGCAGUCUAUACUCUAUUUUGGAGGAGAUAUAUAUAUGAUGCAGCAUUGUAUGUAUAAUUGGGUGGACAUGAUUAAGUCUUCAAACCAGACGCCAAACAAGACUUGUGAGGUCUGUCACGCAACCUUCGUUAUCACAUUCCUAUUCAAUAGGAAGCGAAAUAUUAUUGAUACUUGAAUAAGCGCUUGUGUUAGUCAAGUGCAAUAUCGGAGAUUUUUUAUUUUUUUUAAGGACCCGCGACUCAUAGUUUUGGUCCAGACGAGGUAUACUAAUUACUCCUUUAAUUCCAUUACAAAUGUCUCAAUUUCUAUAAUGGGAUGUCCCAUUACAAAUGUCUAGUUCCUUUUUUGGUAAUAUAUUAUCUCUCUAUACACCUAAUAUUUAAAUAAAUUUCACUAACUCACUUUAUCUACUUUCUAAAUUGUACACAUUUCUUAAUCUCCGUGUCAAAAGUAAUGGGACAUUUAUAAUAGAACGGAGGAAAGAGUACAUUUUUAUGUAAUAAUAUGCAAAUCAUAUAAAGCGUGUGUACAUAACACUUGAAAAAUUAGCUAUAUUGUAAUUGUUAGGUUUUAUAUUAAUUAUGGUACGGUAUCGUAUAAAUGUUUUCUUAUUUAUCAGAUAUUCACUUUGUGUUCUAUAAUACACAUAAAAUAAUUUUCCCAUUACUAUAUAGUUUGCCCAUUUAUAUUUUUUUUUCCUGAUAAAUUAUACAAGUAAAUAAAGAAAUUUAAAGAUCGCAUGAUGAGGAACUCAAAUCCAAAACCCCACCUCAGAUAUCGGGCAUUAAUUAACCACCUACCAUUAGGCCAUUCACAUUUUUAUAUCCAUGUGGCCAACCUUCCUAUAGGUAGGGAUGUCAAUCGGGUCAGCCACCGAAUUUUCGGGCAAGUCCUAUCGGGUUCCGGGUUAAUUGGGUGCGGGCUAAUAGGGUAUGUUAGGUUUUAUAUAUAGUAAAUGUUAGGGUUGGAGAUUUUUUUGGAUUGUAAAUCUUCAACCCUAACCCUAGCUAAGCGUUCGGGUUUCAAGCUAAUCAAGUUAAAAGCGUAAAAUUAAAAUUAUCAUUUUUAUUUUAUUAUUCUUAACGAUCUAAUGUAUAAUGUAUAAAAUAUACAUAGAUGUUAAAGAUAUAAAUUAUAUAGCAAAACAUGAAAUGCAAAAAUAUAAUAUAUUCAAGAUUACAUAACAUAUAAAAUAAAUUUUUUUUUAGAGUAUAUAAAAUAGGUUAAUAACAAUAAAAUGUUUAACUUUAUUCAAAAAAUACAAAUAAAAUAUUCAACAAUAGUUUGAAAUUAAAGAAAAAAAGCAUCUAAAAAUAUCUCAAACCCUAAAAGCCUAAACUCUAAUGUAUUUUAAAUUAAAUUCAAUUUAAAAAAAAAUCAGUAGCCCAACGGGCUGGCCCGCCAACCCGACGGGCUGACCUGCUUCAACCCGCCAGCCCGAACGGGCCAGCCCGAUUUAUAAUCGGAUUGCGAUUUUUCAACUCUAACCUUCUAAUUUUGUCGGGUUAUUCGGGUCGGUCCAUAAGUUUCGAGCUGGAUUGACAUCCCAGCCUAUAGGUAUGUACUGAAUAAAUUCGAGGAAUUGUAACAAUCAUGUAACAAUCAGUGACUCGAGCUAAAGAAGGAGGAGUUAUUGAACUUGGACAAACUAAUUCAAUGAUGAUAGUCAACUGCAAAGAAAAUUACAAACACGUCCAAUAUAUUUCAUAACUCCGCGUAACCGCGUUUGAUAUUUCUGCCGCAUUAGUUAUCAACUGUGGCUUCCAUUGGUUAGAUCUAGAAGCUGAAAAGAAUUGUUCAAGCUAGAGUCAAGAGCAUGAAUAAGUCAUACGUGAAUUUAAUUAAAAUAGUUGAAAGCCUCUGUCCAAUAUCUAAAUCUAUACCAGUGAAUCACUUGUCUUCUAAAAAUAAACAGAUAGUGAAUCACUUAUACGGAAAUUAAUAAAAUAUAAAUAAACAGUUUCCUAAUUUUCUGUUUUCAUCCAUCAUCCACGAAACAUUUCAUUAAUUUUUUUAUUUUUAUCCGUCAAUAAAAUAUCUUCCUAAUCUAUUUUUAAAUAUAACUCCACUAACUAUAUAUUACAUUUACAAUUUAUUUAUUUAUUUGAAACAACUAUUACAUUUACAAUUCAUCAUAUUUAAUUGACCCACCAAUUUAUAUUUUAAUUGAGGCACUAGUAACUAAAUUAAAGCACCUUCACCCUAAUCCCACUAAUUCUUUAAUAACUUAUUAUUACUUUUUCUAAUUCGUGGGAUCGCUUCUACAUUUACUAAAUACAUUUAGCUUUGCUUAAACACUAUUUGGAUAAAAUAUGUCCGGACAAGAAAUGUUAAAUAUUUUAAAAAGUAGAUUUGUUAAAAUUUUGAUUUAAAUAUAAACCUAGUUUAGUUAGUUUUAUUGAUUUCUCACAUUGUAGUGUAUUUGUAAUUUUUUUUAUAAUUUUAUUAAUUUUUUUAUAUUUUUUGUACUUAAAAAUAUUAAAAAUAUAUAAAUAAAUUAUAUUGUGGAAAAAAUAUAAUUAAAUAAUUUUUUAUUUUAAUUUUUUUAAUAUUUAAUAUUUUUUGUUCAAAUAUUUUUUGUACAAAAUAGUAUUAGUAUUAUUAUUUUAAAAACUUGUGUAUACUUUCCUUAAUACUUUUUUUUCCACCGUCUCAUUACAAAUGUAUCACUUUCCAUAAUGGGAUGUCCCAUUAUAAAUGUCUCAUUUCAUUUUUGGCAAUAUAUUCUCUUUUUAUACCUAAUAUUUAAGUAAUUACCAUCAAUCCACUUUAUCUACUUUCUACACAUUUCUUAAUAUUCGUGCCUAAAAAUAAUGGAAUAUUUGUAAUGAGACUAACAUCUUUUAUGGGUGAAUAGACUAAUUAAUUGUAAUAGAAACUUUUAAGGUGGGGCCCACGGAGCAAUAAAUCAUGAAUGCAACGGGAGCUAGAGCUGUCUAUAUUAAUUGAUUGCUUUGACCAAGUAUUUUUUAUUUAUCACGGUUUUUGGGAGUAAAAAUUAGAGUAAAAUUUUGAGAGUCAUAUUGAGCAAUAAAAUUUAAUAUUUGACCAGGGUAGAGUAGCAUCCGUGGAGUCAAUCGUAUUUUUUGGACCGAAAUUUUAAAAAAUGAUCAUAUAUAAUUUGUAUUUUUUGAAUGAGUGGCCGAAAAUUGAGUUUCAUUACUAAAUAUAGUUAUAUGAGUGCAUAUUCUCUAAAAAUUAUCAAGACAGAUCAGCACGAUUAUUGGAAUUUGUAAUUAAGAUUUGAGUAAUGGUGUCUUAUAAACACUCAUUUUACAUAGUUUUUAUGACUUAUAUUCUGUGGAUUAAGUCGGAAUUGUGCCCAUUUUAUUGUCGUUUAGAGCUUAUUGCAUAUUAUUUCAUGAUUUCACGAUUGGGUAUAGUUUUGGCUAUUUUGGUGCAGGAAUGAGUGUUUCUUGGAGCAUGAUGAAUGAGGAUUAUGUCUAAGGGAAGAGAUGUGAUAGAAUCGAGCCUAGAAAUCGAGAAGAGACGAAGAAAAUGAGCUAUAAUCGAGAAGAUGAAGAAGACGGCGGUCAACGGCAUUGACCGCCGAAAAUGGCAUUUUUGGAGAAGUUUUUCGGCGACCAAAACGGCGGACGUCGUUCCGACCGCCAAAAUCCCUGGACGGACUUUACGUUGUGUAGUGGAUAAAAUCCGACUGACCAGCCUAGCCCUGCUCGGCAGCGCUCGACUGCCCAGCUCGAAUCUGCCUUGGCAACUCCGACUCUGCCCAGAGCGAUCCCUCUGCUCUGCCAGCGGCAUGAUCUCUCUGCUCUGGCAGAGGCGCGAUCCCUCUGCUCUGGCAGCGGCAUGAUAUCUCUGCUCUGGCAGAGGCACGACCCCUCUGCUCUAGCGGCAUGAUUUCUCGCUCUGGCAAGAGGCGCGAUCCUCUGCUCUGGACUUGGAUUUUAUUUCUACAAGUGAAGAUUCAAGUUGUUACAUUCGUUCUACUACGGGUUUUUUUUUAUAUAAUUCAGUUUUUACAAUUGCUUUCUUUUUAAUUAUAUUUAUGUUUUCUUUAAUUUGUUAUGUCUGGCUAGUUUUUUUUUAUCUAAUUCUAGGGUUUGUAAAUAGCUAAUUUGAAUUUAUGUGAUUAAUUUGUUAAUACAUUUUUGCCUUCUAGUUUAUGAUUCAUAAUUCAUGGUGCUUGAAUUCUUGUGAAUUAUUUGAUCAAUAGUUUGCAUGUGUAGCUAUUCAGUUUGAGACCUGACAGAGAUAACUGUUUAGCAGAUUCAUAAAUGUAUGAUAUGAUUUUAUUCUUGAGACCUGACGGAGAUAUGUGGAUCAUAGGGAGCUAUUCUUAGAAGCUAUUGGGAGUUAGUAGAUUAUCUUGAGACCUGACGGAGAUAGAUAAUUUAUUAAUCUAUGAUCUUUGUUGCUCUGACGAGAAUAAUUGAUUAAAUGUGUGAUCUCUCAUCAUAAUUGGAUUAAACUGGUAAAUAGGAUUAAUAGAUUAAUUGUUAAAUUUACUUAAUGAAUUUACUACCCUAGGAUCAGUCGCUUUAUCAUUUGAUUUUAUAUCUGAAUUUUUAUUUGCUUUGUUUAGUUUUCGUUUUAUUAAAUUUUUCAUACAGUUUCUUUGCCUGAAUAUUACUAGAGUCUUAUUUAGGAUUACUUAGAGUAAUUCGUUCAUCAGUCCCUGAUGAUAGAUACUUGACUUGCUAUAUAUUAUGAUUACACUGUUAGUUGCGGUAUUUUUAUUGCUAAUAAAAUUGUGAUCAGUGCCAGGGCUAAUUGGGUUCGGCUAAACCGGCCCGUGGUCAACGGUUUGCAUUGAAUCAUUGACCAUGGGCAGGUCCUGGAACCAAAACUGCCAGAAACUCGGUCUGAUUACAGGCUACCAAUCGUGAACCGGAAAUCAACUGUUAACCGUCGGAUCGGACCGCUGGUUAAAAUUGGUGUCAGAUGGCAAAUUGUAGAGGGCGUACGGUACAGGCUAGGGUCAGUCGAGGAUUUGAUUAUUGAUAAACCAACAAGAUAACAACACCAUGAUUUGAUUAUUGAUAAACAUGCUUUUUAAUUUGCACUCUUUCUAAUACAUAAUCCAGAUCCUUUAACCAAAGCGGUGUAUGCUUCACCACUUUUGAACAGUAAUCUCCACACAAGACAAAGCGUCGUGAUGAGAGAGCGAGGAUACAUAAGUAGUCGAACAUGUUUGAUCCACGAUUUGGGUUGAGUGAGACGGAUACAGAGGAAGUUGCAGACAUUCAACAUCACCAUCCAACAUUUCAAGCACUUUAUUCAUCGAUGGACGAUCACGUGGACUCGUUUGUGUGCACCAUAAUGCAACUAUGGUCAUCUUUCUUGCGAGUUUCCUUCGACUACCAUUCUCAUCAUUAUUGUCGAUUUCAUUAGCUUUUCCAAAGUCAAUGUCCUUACCUUGGUUAAAGCUAUCAUAUAUCCAAUGUGGAAAGUACUUACUAGAAUCACCAUCAUCAGUUACUAAAUCUCUGUUUAAGUUCAAUAGUCCCAUCAGCAGCAUCCCAAAACUAUACACAUCAGCCUUGUACGAGACUGGGCCAAUACUUCUGCUGACCAGUUCAGGAGCAACGUAGCCUACAGUUCCUCUAGCAGUAGUCAUGCUCACUGUCUUCUUGUCUAUAGAGCAAAAUUUUGCCAGACCAAAAUCAGAUAUUUUGGGAAUGAACUUCUCAUCAAGAAGUAUAUUGUGAGGUUUGAUGUCAAAAUGGAGGAUUUGAAAAUCACAACCUCGGUGCAAAUACUCAAUCCCGCGAGCAAUUCCAACAGCAAUAUCAAACUUCCUGUCCCAAGUAAAGGAAGUCAUUUUCUCUCGGUCGAAGAUGUAUUAUCAAGGGAACCAUUGGGCAUGAAAUCAAAGACAAGCGCACGCUUUGAGCCUUGUGCACAGUAUCCAACCAAUGUGAUGACAUUGACAUGGUGGAUCCUUCCAAUAGUAGCAAUUUCAUUCAUAAAGUCUCGGCCAUUUCCUCCAGAUUUUCCGAGCAUUUUGACUGCUACAUGAUGGCCACUUCGGAGCUUCCCUUUGUAAACAAAACCAUACCCUCCUUCGCCUAGUUUAUCUUGAAAAUUCUUAGUCAUAUUCUUUAUGUCUGAAUACGAGUACCUGAUUGGCACAAGUUUGUUGUCACUGUGAAGGAAGGAUUCUAUAUCAACAAAUAUCGCCUUUGGUAUUUGUAGAUUAAAAGCCACACUAGAUAAGGGCAUGCAAUGAUUAGCUUUGGUGCAGAGAUGAUGAUGCCUGCGAUGACAUCGAAAAAGAAACUGAUCACAAUUCCUCAAUUUUGAAAAUGAACAAAUAUUAGCCUAGUAGUAUCCCUCAUCUAUGUAAUGGUGAAAGAUUAGAGUUGGAUCUUCAUUCCCCUUCCCCAACUAAUAAAACAAAACAUAUAUGUAAGUACAUAAAUAGAUUAAUUGAUACUCUUCAGAAGGAAAAACUUAUACAGAUCAUAGCUUAAAAGAGUAACUACAACAAAACUUAAUAACUCACCACUAAUUAACAUAUCAACCGCGACCGCUAGCAAAUCAGUGACCAACGCCCAUGUGUCGGUCUCUGCAAGCACACCAAAUACAUGGUAGGUUUAGUGUGGAUAUUAGAGAAACUAGAGUAAAAUGAUAGAUUUAACAGUCUCUAUAUUUAUCAAUCACUAAAGGCUACUUGUGUCAAUACAUUCAUUUGUAAAAAAAACUCCUCAAAUAUAAGCUUAUAAAUGAAUUUUUCCGGAGGAGAAUUGGUUUAUCAGCAAAAACUCCAAUACCUCACUAUAUAUUACAACUUCAAAUAUGUAGACAAUAUAUAGUAAGUAGUAAUAGAUCAUAAACUAAGAGCGCACCAUGGUCUGCUUCAUCAAAUGAAAGGGUCCCUGUGAUCACAAUACAUACAUGAUAAUUGAUAAGCAAUAUGAAAGAAAUAAAAGUAGAAAGACAGAGCAUGAGGCUAAAGAGAUGACUCUGUUUUUUUUAAAGGAUUCUUACAUUUUUGUGUCAGUCGAAAGACAAUAAAUAAGAGUCCUAAUAAACCGGUGAAUCCAAUUACGAUAAUCAAGGGGAAGCUCACCCCUGCACAAACAAGAACUGGAAUGUUUUUGACAAAAUUAGAAAAUUUCUUGCCCAAAAUUGAAGCAAUCUUGUCCACUAUGCUGUCAUCACUAAGUUUAGUCUCAGAAAAUCUAAUAGGAAAAAAGUGUCAAGUAUUUAGUGAGACAUAUACUAAUUAGUGUAAGUGCGCACCUACAAAGACCAAAGGAAUCCAGAGAAGCUCUGCAGAUGAUAGAUGGCAGUGAGGAUUAUUAAAUAAGUAUGUUGAAAUUCAUAAACAGAAAAUGAGUGUGUGAUUCCUUACCUUUAUUUGCUUUGGAGAAGAAUAGUUUGAGUUUCUCUGCAUUGCCCAGAACAGAAAAGCAUUAACAAAAAGCAAAGGAAAUCCAUCAUUAAAGAGUCAAGUCAACACAAGGUUAACGCAUAUUACCCCACUUUGUGGAAAAGCCCCAAUAACAGAAGGUGAGUUCAAAUCCAUACAAGAGAGAGUGGUGGAUUUCUAAAAGCGAAACGUUGUUCAAAUCCCUAAAUUUCCACGAUGUCAUGACUAUCACCUCCAAAUCGCAAGUUUGUGUUACUUGAGAAGCCUUGAUGUGGCCGACUUUGACAUAAGUAAAUCUAGGAAGGGAAGAAUUAGAGGCACAAUGAGUAAUAUCUGUAAAGAGGGAAGAAUUGUUCAAGGGAUUGGGGCAGCUGAUGAAAUGAAUGGGCAGGGCUUCAGCGUAAGCAUAUGGAAAAUGAUGAGGCUUGUAUAAAGAAUAGUUGGGAAAAGAGCAGAUGAAGUGAUUGUUUAUGGAAGCAUCGACGAGCCUAAUGGUGGAGCCGCUGGCGGCGUAGUUGAUUUGUGAGACGUAGUAUUUGUGAGAAUUAAGAGAGAUGGAGGUGACAUUGUUUCACGUGAUUAUCUUGUCAUUGAGGUCCUAAAAUGCCAGAAUUCGGUACUAAAUUUGGCCACGUGUCGUUGCGCUCGCUCCAGUCUGGUAAUGAAGAUAAGAGAGAUGAAGGCGUAAGGCGGGGGGCCAUGCUUCAUGCUUCUUCUUCUUCUUGGCGAAUCGAUUGACUUAACAAAAUAAAUUGAAUUAUGGGUAAAUCGUAAACUACAAUAAUAUAAAUACUAAUUGAAUAUUUUAUUAUUAACUGUAAUUCAUGAUUUUUGAAAAGAAAGAAAACAGGUUAUGGGUAAAUCCUAAAUUAACAAUAUUAAAUAAAAAAAAUUUAAAGGCUUGGCCAGUUUUAUUACAGUGGACCCAAUCUAAAUUUACUAAUUAGGAAUGGAAUAAAAUAUUGCGUACAAUUAUAAUCAAUAUUUAAAGUGUGGUUAAUUUCUCAGAAAAUUGAACAAAUUUUGAAAAUUCGUAAAAAUAGAAUGAACCCCGAGUAACUGAGCGGAUGCAUCGAAAAGCGUGUUUGCUUAACAGGUAAAAUAUAGCAUUUUAAAGUUCAAAUCGAUUUAUUUUGAAAUUCAUCUCGAACUAAUUUUUCUGUCACCAAAAAAUCUAGAUGGCAACCAAAAGUGUGGAAAAUCAAGCCGGAUAAAAAACAAUUAACGUGAAGAAGUUUAUUAUUCUACAACGACUAUAUUUAAAAUUUUAUCGUAAAUGAAAAAUUAUAUAAAAAAAAAUACGUUCCACAUACGUUCCACAAAAUUCUCCAUUUCAAUAUAUUCAUUUCGUCUCAAUUUAAUAUGCUACAUUUUUUUAUCUGGAAGUCUCAUUUUAAUAGAUCACUUUCUAAAAUGAAAAAUUAAUAUAUAACAAAUAAUCUCACAUAACGCAUUUUAUACAUUGUAUAUAAUUGUGGCUCACACAUAGUUAUCUUUUAUCUCAUUUAAAAAAAUAUUUUAAAUUUUUUUCCUUUUUUUUCAACAGUAUAUCUUCAAAAAAUUACUUUCACUCUCCUGUUUUAUUUCGAACUAUUUUUGUUUCUUAACAUCCAUGUCCAGACAUUGUGACUUAUUGAAUUGGGUCGGCGAGAGUAUUUUUUUUUUGGUAAUUCUAAACACAGCCCUCAAAUUACUCAUUGUAGCCCCCAAUUUAUAAAAAUAAUAAAUAUAAUAAUAAAUGUACAAUUUUACCCAUGUAAUCCCUAAAUUAAAUUAUAUUCAUAUUUUUACAUUUUCGGUAUUCUCAUACCCACAACUUUCAUCGGAAUUUGUAUUAUCAUUUAGAUUAGAAUUAGAUUCCGGAGGCAGACAUCGCGCAAAGUCUCUCUGAUCUAAAUCUGCAGCCCACAUCCUAAAAAGUGUGAUUUUUUUUCCAAAUUUAUAUCUACUGUUGCUGGUAUUUUAUUGAAUUUAUGUUCAGGUUUCUUGAGAUUAUAUUUGAAACUUCUGUUUCUUUGAUUCCUCAGAACCCAAUUCGUCUUCUUUUAAUUGGUUUACUUCUGUAUUCAGAGUGAAAAAAAUUAUUAUAAGUAAAAUUCCAACGCCAUUAAGUUACAGUAAAUUGAGUCAACUACAUCCAUGGAGGGAGCCCACGGAUCAAACAAAAAUCUUCAUCUUAUUCUCUUUUUCUUUCUUCUUUUUAUAUAUUCAAUUUUUAAAAUAAAAUACUAAAAAAUAGCGAUUAACACAAACAAUUAUACUUACUUGCUAGUUAGGUCGAUAAAAGUUGUGUAUCAUAUUUCUUUGUUGAAGGUUUUGAAGUUGGUGAGUUGUGUACCAUAUUUCUUUGUUGGAGGUUUUGAAGUCGACGGCUAUGGAUUAAAAAAGUUUGAUUUUGCAGGUUUUGAAGUGGGUGGCUAUGAGAGUAAUAAAAAUAUUUAUUUAGAUUAAAUUAUAGUAUUAUUUAUUAAAAACGUGAUUUGGGGGUUAUAAGGACAAAAUUGUAAAUUUUAUAAUUAUUUUUAUUAUUUUCUAAAUCAAGCGCUAUAAUGAAUAAAUUGGAGGCUAUAAAUAGAAUCUCCCUUUCUUUUUUUCCUCUUAUUCCAUUUAUGGCAAAUUUCCAUUUUCAUUGGACAAUCCCUUUUUCCAUAAGAUAAACCCCAAUGGGAAAGAAUCACUCCAGUAACAAAUCAAUAUGAAUAUUUAAUUUCACCGUGUUUUAUCAUUGAGAGACUUCCAAAGGAAGUAAAAGUACCCAUCCCACUUUCCGCAGAGAUGAUCGAGUCUUCUUCAAAUAGAGUUUACCACAGAUCAUAAUUAUUCCUACGCUAAUUCUCAUGUGCAGUCAAUCGCAUAUGAUGCUAACGGUUUGAAAGUUUAUAUGUUUUUACAAUAAUAUUUAUUUUUAUAUAUAAGAAUUUUUACUUUUAGUUAUUUUCACUCAUUAAUACUUUUAUUCUUAACUAUUUGGUAGAGUAAUCAUUAUCGUAAUAAAAAGUAACUAUUGUUACAAUAAAAUGUAAUAUUUCUAAAUUUAUUACAUUUGUUCACGAUAAGUGUUACUUUUAUUCAUGAAAACUUGUACUAUUACGUAAGUAUACAUUUGUGCUACAAAUGUAUAUCUUAUGCUUAUUAAAAGUAAUCGUCCGCAUACUAUGUGGUCAACCGCAUGCAAGACCAACUCUUAUUCCUAUAAUUACUGUAUUUUCAUUCCGCGUGCUAUUAUUCCUAUACUUAUAUAUAUAGGGUGCGUUCUCUUUGGUUGUAAAUUUAUCAUGGAAAAAAGAAGGAUAAACAAAAUUUCAUCAUUUAAAUCAUUCCUUUCUUCCCCACAUUUCCUACUUGACCAUUACUCAUUCCUCAUUUACACUACAAAUGAGGGAUAAUAUUAUCACAUCAUUUAAAUGAGGAAUGAGUAUGGGUCAAGUAGAAAAUGUGGGAAAAGAAAGAAAGGAUUUAAAUUGUGAAAUUUUAUUUAUCAUUCAUUUUCCUAUGAUAAAUUUACAACCAAAGAGAACGCACUCAUAGUAUAUUUUCCUUUGUCUUUUUCCUUUAAGUUUGUGGCAUACUUGUACAUAUAAGUCAAAACCCUCCUAAUAUAGUGUUGAAAGCUAGUAAAUUAUAUCGUAGGAGACCCAAUAAAUCAAAUAAAUUAGUAGUAAUAUAACUAGAUUAAUUUUAAGUUAUCAGGUAAUCCUAAUAUCGACGCAUCUUGCUGGCACACCAAGGUCGAUUGUUUUUGUAAUUAAGCACUGAGCCGAUGGAUGAUGUAUAAAGUUUAAAUGGAAAAUGGUAAUUAUAUAUAGAUCGAUGUUGUAUUUCAUAUAGCACAACAUGCAUGAGCUCCUCAUAUGGUGGUACCUCCACUGUACAGAUUAAAAGCUUUCGCACCCAAUAAAAAUACGAUCGAGCUAGUAUCUGCUUGUACAACUUGUUGCACCAUACAACACGAUGGUGCAGAGAAGUAAUAUAUAUUAAUUGUUGAAAAUAAUCACUAGUUGAGCAUCUAGCUCAGUUGGUUCAAAACUCACAAGCAACGCCAUAUUUUCUCCUUCUUAACUUCACUCAAACAAAUCUACAUAUUACGAAUGAUAUUUUUAAUGCAUGCAAAUGAUACUUUUAAUUAUAUGACAGUGCAUGUAGACUCUAACCUCCUAGAUGCUCAAUUGAUGAUUUCUCACAGCCAUUAAUAUACAUGUCUUCCUUGCAUCAUCAUAUUGUAUGAUACAACCAAUUGUACAAAAUAAUUUGUGUACAAAAUAUUAAUAGCAUUUAAGAUGACUUCAUCAAUCUUGAUCAUGAAACGUGGAAUGGAUCACUGAAUGACUUAAUUAUAAGUCUUCUAUAGAGUUCUGGCCAAUGAAAAUAUUUUCUCCUCCACAAGCCCCACAUGACCCACCAACAAGAAAAGUAAGUAACAAACAAACAAUACUGUUUGUUUGAUCAAGUCAAUCUUGAUAGGUACAAAAACCAAAAGUGGGAUCCAAUUCAAUCAGGGCUGGCCCUGAGGGCGGGCGGGCGGGCAGGCAUGGCCCAGGGCCCCCAUCAUUAAAAUAAAUGAAAAAUCCUACAAUGUCAAUCAAGUUGUAUUGAGUGAAAUGAUCAGAAUGAUUGAAGUGAAGAUCAAUGUAAUUGCAUACGAAACAUAAAUAGAUGCUUACGAAGAACUUGUAAAAAAAUUGGCAACAAAGUGUAGCAACGAUCUGCUUAUAGUACAUUGUCAAUGCAAAUAUGUACACCCUGAUAUCAAUAAGGCCCAUUUUCACUCUGUAAGUCUUGAACAAUAAUCUCAACACUGGGUGAAGCAUCAUCAUAA
rnacentral:lncRNA from 1 species